rnacentral:rRNA from 1 species
GUGAACGCUGGCGGUAGGCCUAACACAUGCAAGUCGAACGGCAGCACAGUAAGAGCUUGCUCUUACGGGUGGCGAGUGGCGGACGGGUGAGGAAUACAUCGGAAUCUACUUUUUCGUGGGGGAUAACGUAGGGAAACUUACGCUAAUACCGCAUACGACCUACGGGUGAAAGCAGGGGAUCUUCGGACCUUGCGCGAUUGAAUGAGCCGAUGUCGGAUUAGCUAGUUGGCGGGGCAAAGGCCCACCAAGGCGACGAUCCGUAGCUGGUCUGAGAGGAUGAUCAGCCACACUGGAACUGAGACACGGUCCAGACUCCUACGGGAGGCAGCAGUGGGGAAUAUUGGACAAUGGGCGCAAGCCUGAUCCAGCCAUACCGCGUGGGUGAAGAAGGCCUUCGGGUUGUAAAGCCCUUUUGUUGGGAAAGAAAAGCAGCAGGUUAAUACCCCGCUGUUCUGACGGUACCCAAAGAAUAAGCACCGGCGAACUUCGU